GUCUUAACUAACAUCUUUUGAUUCAGUUGUUUUUCUUUUAACCGAAUAUCUGAGAAUACAUAGUAUGCUCUAUGAUAUGAUUAUAUGGAUUUAAAUGGUAGAAUAUCCAAGGUUCAAUGACCGCCGCCUUGACUACAAAAAGUGACCUAUGUACGGAGUACAGUAGUGGCUACGCCGAUUCUUACCCAAUGUCAGGGUGGCGACUGUGAAGACGGGAUGGAUCCAGAGGGACUCCGUUAGCGGUACGACGGUGGUGCGCGGAUCGCGUAGCCAGUACCAGGCGCUGAUGGCGGUGCACAUGGACAUGGCGGAGAGGACAACUGCAAGAAGCUCUAUGGUUAUUACGGGCUGUACUGCUCGCUGGUGUUCUCAUUACACGGAUGCAACUUACUGCGCCAGCGGAACGUCGAGGGACGGUACGAUGAAACCACUUCGGUGAGGCGCCGCUCGAAGGCCUUGAGAUCUGCAGAGGAGCGAGGAAAAGAAACCCAGUUAUGCACUGAUAACGGGCUACGUUACUCAACACUAAGAAGCAGGGUCGUAACAAAGGGGGAAGGGGGGUAAAAGCCAUUUGUUUAUUUCCUCCUCUCAGUAUAAAAUGGUU